AAAAUAAAGUUGAACACCCUUAAAGCUGUAAUAUGCACCUAGAGGCACGAAGACCCACUACGAAAGUGACUUUAACCCUUUUGAACCCACGAAAGCUUAGAUACAAACUGGGAUUAGAUACCCCACUAUGCUAGGCCCCAAACAUAGACAAAAUUACUUCUAUCCGCCAGGGUACUACGAGCAUUAGCUUAAAACCCAAAGGACUUGGCGGUGCUUUAUACCCACCUAGAGGAGCCUGUCCUAUAACCGAUAAUCCCCGUUUAACCUCACCUCUCCUUGUUUUCACCGCCUAUAUACCGCCGUCGUCAGCCUACCCUGUGAAGGCUUAACAGAAUGCAAUGUUGGUACAACCCAAAACGUCAGGUCGAGGUGUAGCGAAUGGAGAGGGAAGAGAUGGGCUACAUUUUCUGACCCAGAAAAUUACAGAAGGUAAAAUGAAAUAAACCCGAAGGAGGAUUUAGCAGUAAGCAGAGAAUAGAGUGCUCAGCUGAAACUGGUCAU
rnacentral:rRNA from 1 species